CCGUAGGGGACGAGCGUUAUCCGGCUUUCCUGGGCUUCCCUCUCCCUUCUUUUUCCUUUCCCUUUUUCCUUUCCCUCUCCCGUCUUCCCUGGGAGAGGUCGUUCAAAACUGGGGGGCUUGAGGUUGGAAGAGGAGAGCGGAAUUCCCGGUGUAGUGGUGGAAUGCGUAGAUAUCGGGAGGAACACCAGUGGCGAAAGCGGCUCUCUGGUUCAAUACUGACACUGAGAUGCGAAAGCGUGGGGAGCGAACGG
rnacentral:rRNA from 1 species